UUAGCAUGUUACGCCUCGGGAGUGAGAACGGGCUCCCACCUGUGUGUAUCCCUCCUCUCUGUUGCACUUCCUUGUCCCUCUCUCCGGUAUCGAAAGUGAAAAUUUGCUGAGGUCGAUAGAUCAGUUAGGCUGCACGGUGCCUGUCAUUAACAUUAUCCUCAGCAGAAGGAGUGCAGCAAGCUUACCACAAUACAGAAUCAAAUGGAUAAGAUUUAUCGGGUCAUGGUUUCUGGAGGUGGCGAGAUGAAGGUGAUUGACCUGUGCAGCACCUCUGCAGAGUUUAACAGGUUGACCGUGAAGGAUCUGAAGGAAAAAAUUGUGCAGAAAUUUGGAUAUUAUGGAUUUGAUGAGGAGCUACAGAUGAUUUUUCAAGGUCUGCGUCUAGAAGGUGAUGACACCCUGCUUUGUCACUAUGGAAUACAGGAUUUUUCUGUCAUCCAAUUAGUGUUAAAGAUUUGUGGAGGAGAUCCAGCUUAUUUGCCUAUCAAGGAAAACAGUGGGAUGGGUGACAAGACUGGCAAAAACCUAAGUAUGGAAAGACUUUGGGAUUUUGAAACAACAGGUCAAUGUCCUACUCAGAAAAACAGUGAGCUUUGUGCCAAUAGUGGCAACAAGCGUACAGUGCCAUGAUCCAGGUCAUGAUUUUGUGUAUUGUCUUUGCUCGCUACACCUGAGGGUGUCACAGUUCGUUCUGUCUGCUGUUUGUGCUAAUGUAAGUUAGAGGUGGAGGCUGACCAUUGGUUGAGGACUAAAUAGGGCUGACUAUAAACUGGGACCCGUUCCUGCUGCCAAACAGGCUGCACGUUUAGCCCUGUACCUUGUGUUUAGCUGUGUGCUUUGUGUGACCAGGUUUCCCUGAUGAGAAGAGCUUAGUUUUCUUGUAUAUAUUGUAAACAGUGUAAAUAGACAUUUUCUGAUUGAUCUGGUAGCUGUAGGGUUGGGGAGCAUUUUUCUUUUAAAACUUUUUUUUCUCCUGUAAGUUAGGUGUUUCAUUUGUAGGGUGUUUUGUUUGUUCUUUUGGCCAUGCCCACCCUGAUGCUUGCUAUCUUUCAGGGUUAAUGGAAAAUCCAGUUUUUGUGAAACCUGUGGCAGUGUUGUCUCUACUUGGGAGCGGGGAGUGUGGGUUUUAUCUUUCGUUCAUUUGGGGGGUUUUUGUGUUGUGUUCCAGUUUUCCCUAGGCCGGGGUGUAACAAAAGAAAAAAUUGGAGAGGAAGAAUUCAGGCUUUUAAAACAUUUUAUUAACACAACAAUGUGACCCAAGGAUCCAAAAAAGUUUGUUCAACAUCCUUUCUGGUUAGCGUAAUAAGAAAUAUCCCCAAGUAAAACCAGUGUGUGGAAGUUGUCCUCCAGUUAUAUUAGAGAGAUUCUGUCCCAGUGCUACUGACAGGGAACCUGUGUUUGAUUUUUUGUUACAAAUCUGCAUUUAGUUACCUGCUCCUGAUGUAUCAGGCCCAUCUUGACUAUUAAAGACCGCAAGACAGAGAACGGAGAGACUGUUAUAUAUUUGUUACAGCACUGAGGAUGGUGAUAUGUUUAAAGUCUGAGUACACAGUUUGUGCGUACUGAUUUAAUUUGUAGUUUCUAUAAAUCAGGUGUGGCUCUGUCUUUUUUAAACUGGUUCAGCUAGGCAGACAUCACACAAUACACAGAGACAAUGAUACAUUCAGUAUGAGUGAUAUUCAAAAUCUUUAAACUUUCCCCGUUUGGAAGCUAAAAACAAAUUAAUGCACCUCAUGUAAAUGUAUUUAUGAUGUAAUCAUAAAUGCAGUGAAUGAUUCAGGACAAUGCAACAGGGAUGUCCUUCGGUUACUGACAGUUAAAAAAAACAACAACAACCCCCUAAAAAACAAUGUUUUCUUCUGCUUUUCUUAUUUAUUUGUUUUUCAUGAAUUUAAUACCACUACCCACUAAGAAUAUUAACCGCCUAAUUUCACUGUAUCAGUUUUAUUUUUAAAAAGUUGGCUUCAGCUGAAGUUUUUUCUAUAUGAAAAUACACAUUGUUGAACUCUUUAUAGACUCAAGAUAUUUAGAAACAUCCCAAAGUUGUAAAAGAAAACAUUUCUUGUCUGAUAUUUGUUGACACUGUGUGUAGUUGCUCCUGUUGAUAAUUACAGUCUUUUGUAUAUGUUUGUUGAAUACCCUUACAGAUGCCAGUCUACUAGAUUUUAUUUUGACAUUCACCUGUGAGGGAUGCUGCAGCUUUUCCAGAAUCAUUUUUAUUUUACAUUACUGGAUUUUCAUGACCAUAUUAACAAUUUUUUACCAACGCCAAUUGUUAAAAAAACAUAAAACAAAAAAAACCCUCCAAUGUUUAUUUUAUUUUCUGUUUCAUUUGGAUUAGUGUUGUGAGUUUGCCAUAACUUUGCAGGAGAUUUUUUUACUUACAUGUAUCAGCGAGUCAGACAUUAAAUGCACAUUCUGAUGAUUUAAAGGGACUCUUAAAAUGAUUUGAUUAUUAGUGAUUGAAAUUCAUUGAACAGAGUUAAAUUUAAGAAACAUUAUUGUUAAAAUGGAUUUCUUAAACAACAUUAAUAGAAAAUAGAUCAGAUCAUUUAAUACUGUUUAAUGUUCAAGAACAAAUCAGCCUGUAAAACCUUUGGCUUCUGUUUCAAUAAAAUCUGAAAGGAAAAGUUUAA